GGGGCUGCGGAGCGCCGAGCCUUCCCGAGAAGCGGGGACGAACAAGGGCCGGGAGGGACGGCGAGGGAGAGAAACGGCGGAAAAGUGCAGUGACAUCCAUCCAGCUGCUGAGGUAACUGCAAGGCCCUUCAUGCCAAUCAAGGCCUCAGCUCUGCAACUUUCUCUUCAGUCCAUAGUGAAUUGAGUGGGACAAAGGAGAUGGAGGGGGCAGCUCUACCUGCAAUGCCUGCAGGGUGAAGGGCACAUCCCCUGUGACACUGAGGGCCACCAAUGCCAUGGGACAGUGGAGGGAAGGCAUGCAAAACAGUCACGGAGAGGUGUACAUGAGAGAACAGGAAAUAUGCCUACCAGGAAUUUGGGACAGAAGAAAAUCUUCUGGAUCUGGACAACCCUAUGACAGGAUUGGUCUCUAGGACCUCACACCCACAGCUUUCAACCUACUUUGCAAAGCAUCAUCAAUAUUGCACUAGAAACAAAAUAAUGAUAAAAAUAAUUGGACAAGUUACAAGAAUCCUGUGCAGAGACUGGUAUCUGCAGUUGCUGCUUAUUGGUUUUCAAGCUUGAAAAUGAACCUGACUCUCCUUCACUGCUGUUUUAGAAGGCCAAGAAACUGGCUGGACCACAAGGAACAUGUUCCACCACCACUGCCAAUCCUGUUAGGGAGACGAAUAUGCCAAUGUGAGGGAGAGGAUGCCAGUAUGAGGCUGGGAGUGUGAGAAUCAGGUAAACAUAGGUUUUUAAAACUUUAAAGUAAAUAGCAUCUUCUUGCCUUAAAAAUUUGCAAUGAGCAAUUACUGAAGCACAAAUGAAGAGACUAUAAUGUAAGGCAUAAUGGUAAAAGUAUUGAAACAUAUUAAUUAGUAUUUCUAAGAAUAUACUUAAAGUACUGGUGAGCUUAUAAAAUAAUAGAAAAUUUCACAUUGGGGAAAGGAACCCUCUCACAAAAAUACCUUUAACUGGCCAUCGUUUCCCAUGCUCCUGUUUUCUCCAACUAAAGACACUUAUGUCCCUGUUAACUCUGCUGCCCACACAGUCCAGUCGUUCUUUUUCCUGAUCCUACAAUGAGGCAAUGACACUGUGCUCAUCAUCUAUCCUAUUACCAUGGAAAUGAUAGCAACGUCAUAAAUUCAGCAGUCUGAUUCCUUGACAGGGUUGAUUAGGAACAGAUUAUAAGCUGGAGAAAAGCUGAACCCUUGAUUAAACACAAAUAGCUCUUACAAUGAACAAAUACGGGAAUAAAAUAUAUUUGAAAUCGUGUAAAGAAUGGGUGUCUUCAUAUUCUAGAUUAGAAAUUGUUUUUGUAUUUCACUGAUUUUCUAGAAUUGUUUGAAUUUGUUUGCAAAGUUCCCUAAUUUAUUUUUAAAUCCCACAUAUAUAUGUAAUUAGUAAUCAUAUAUACUCCAGGAUUCACAGAAAAAUCAGUGUGGGUACAGCUUGUAAAAGGCUAGUUAGGACUUUUCAUUUCAUUCAUAAUAAAUGUAUUUAGUAUUACAAAUGCACUAUAGCUAAAUAUACCCAUCCACACAAAUACAGAUAAACCAUAUGCUUUUAUAAUUUUCAACCAGAUCUACUUGAAUUCAAAGGAUGUGUUAUUUAGGGGCUUUUCUGGUAAAUUCUGACCAUUCCCUUGAUAAAACCACCUCCCAUGAGGUGCUCUGUAUCUUGUCUGAGUCCCAGAAAACCAAUUCUCCCUAUUCCCAGUGAAGACCUUGGCUCAGUAGGAUACUGACACACUCCUCUCCCACUGCUUCAAUACCUUAAUGAAUGCGUCAAAGCUAGAUACUUUAUUGUCUUUUGAAUCAAGACCUGUAUUGAGCCCACAGCCACUAAAGAUAGAAAAGGACUAUUUGUAUCAUUCAAACUAUUAAUCCCUAAAGAAGUAUCUUAUAUGAAAAUAGAAAAGUGUUCCAAUACAGUUCAAUGUUUGAGAGGCUGUCUUUUCAUUUUAAAUUCUCACACUAAGCAUAAGCGCUAAAUCCUUAGUUCAUACUUUACUGGAGAUUUGACAACUCCGAUUUCAACCACAGCUUAUUUUACCAGUAAAAGUGUGCAGUAGGGUGUGCAUGCCCAUUCCAGGCCAUCUCUGUUCUCAGGCCUGCUGCAGUGUUUCUUCUACUUCAGACUAUUUACUCAAUGCCAUUAAUCAAAAUCCUAUAGCAGAAAAUGCAUGCAUAAGUCCUACACAUUUAUUGCCAUGGCAACAAUUCAGGCUCUUGUUCAUAUGUCAAGCUACAUCAGUGGAGAUAAAUUCUAUUGUUUUCACACUGACAGUUCUCUCUGUGUUGGGCUUAAUCCAUAGAAAAAUAUAGCUUUGCUCUUUUUAAAAUAAAACACAGACCACCCAAUGCUCCAAAUUCUCAUUCUUCAUAUCGUAUAACUGAACAAUCUGAAUAGUUAUAAAAAUAUAGUUUGCUCUUUAGGUUUAUGAUAGCAAUUAAAGUGUAAAAAAAUGGACCAGUCCUCAUGAUAUUUUUUUAGUCUGUGGGAUUGGUUAGGAAUUUAAUUCUUCAUGAAAAGAUGAGGUCUUUGCUGUGAAGCUAAAUAGCUAUGAUACCAGAGCACUGCGUUCUUGCAUUAGAUUGCAGUAUUUUAAAAUAAAUGCCUUUAAGCUUUGAGUGAAGUUGGUGUAAUUCAUUUUCCAACUUAGCUGUAGAUACUGUAUUUUUCAUAACACAAAAAUUAAUGAUUAAUGCAUAAUAUCCAGAGAAAUAUUUUUAUAUUUCGUUUAGCUCAUGACAAAAUACACUCUCGUGUGGGUGAUUCACAAGUGCGAAAGAUAAGCAUCAUUUUUUGUGAAUAAGCCUCUAUAUGUUUACUUGUAUAUACUGUAUUAUGAGUAAGUCUUAAUGCCUGACAUAAUUUUACAUUAUUUUACUGUGUACUAGACCACAGUUUUGAUUCCUAUUAUUUCCACAGACACCUCAUCUUUCUCAUUAUCACAGACUAACAAGAAAACGGUCUUUCAUUAAUAAAAUACUUUUAAUGCUU